rnacentral:rRNA from 1 species
GUUGGGUAGGGGAGCGUUCUGUAAGCCUGUGAAGGUGUGUCGUGAGGCAUGCUGGAGGUAUCAGAAGUGCGAAUGCUGACAUAAGUAACGAUAAAGCGGGUGAAAAGCCCGCUCGCCGGAAGACCAAGGGUUCCUGUCCAACGUUAAUCGGGGCAGGGUGAGUCGACCCCUAAGGCGAGGCCGAAAGGCGUAGUCGAUGGGAAACGGGUUAAUAUUCCCGUACUUGGUGUUACUGCGAA